UGAAAAGUUUCCUAUCGUAUUGUCGAACAAAUUCAUAUCUACUUCUGAUCUACGCGACCUUAGAAGUUUGGAUUGUCCUAUCUAAUCAUUUUACAUUUUAUUGUUUUCAGAACAAGAAUUAUUUUACUUCCCACUGUCUAUGUAAGGGGACUUAGAGCGGAUUCAUACUUUACUAUACGUGUCGUGUCGAAUGAUAGUCCCUAUGUCAGUUUCUCCAAUUCUAUUUUGCGUAGGAUAAGUUAAAAAAAUAAUUAAAAAUAUGUGUUACCGUAUUUUUAUUCGUGAAAUGUUACCUAUAUUUCUAAGUUAAUGAUUGUACUAUACUUCCAAAAAUAUGUCUGACAAACAUUUUAUAUGAAAGCCAUUUUUCCAUGUAAAAAUGAACUGUUAUAGGGACCAUCUUUUGAAUUUAUGAUAAUUUAUUCAUAUUUUAAUGUACUCGGGUAGGUAAUAUUGCAGGCAUUAUAUCAGCACCAAAUAAAUGCUGUGAACCAGAUAUAUAUUAUAUGGCGAAUAACGUAUAAUAUCUUUUUUUCACGAUCGGUUUGGCCUAGUAAGUCGAUGAUCCUGGGUUUGAAUCCCGGUAAGGGCAUUUAUUUGUGUGAUGAGCACAGAUAUUUGUUCCUGAGUCAUGGAUGUUUUCUAUGUAUUUAAGUAUUUGUAUAUUAUAUAUUAUUAUGUCGUUGUAUGAGUACCCACAAAACAAGCCUUCUCGGCUUGCCGUGGGACUCACUUAAUUUGUGUAAGAAUGUCCCUAUAAUAUUUAUUUAUUGUUAUUAUUAUUGUAUGUCCGGUAACAGAACUCCCCAGGAGCACUAGGGUGUGUAAGGUCGCUACUCCCCAACUUAUUAUAAUUGUUAUUACUUUCAGCAUUUUUAAGUUGUUCAUCGGACACUGAGGCCAUUGAAGUUUCAAGCUGGCGGCAUCAAAAUGGAGUACCUAGAAACCAUACGGAAAUAAUGAGGAUGCAUCGACAUAAGAAGAAUCGAACAUGGGCAAGAUAAAGUUCAAGAAAAAAGCAAAUAUAAUGUGUACUUGUGUGUAGUCAAAGAAAGUUGAAAAAUAAAGCAUAAUUAAUGGCCAUAGAAUACAGAACCGAUACACGAACAUUAAGACUAUUAAAAAUAGACAUAUAGGUUGAUCGUACUACUCGUACUAAUGUAUUUCUUUUGUUCAAUUAUAUUAUUGCAUUAAAGUUAGAUUCUCUAGAUAUAUAU